UACGGAGGGGGCUAGCGUUGUUCGGAAUUACUGGGCGUAAGGCGCACGUAGGCGGAUUGUUAAGUCGGGGGUGAAAUCCCGGGGCCCAACCCCGGAACGGCCCUCGAUACUGGCAGUCUUGAGGACGGUAGAGGCUAGUGGAAUGGCGAGUGUAGAGGUGAAAUUCGUAGAUAUUCGCCGGAACACCAGUGGCGAAGGCGACUGGCUGGACCGUUACUGACGCUGAGGUGCGAAAGCGUGGGGAGCAAACAGG
rnacentral:rRNA from 1 species